rnacentral:rRNA from 1 species
GGAUUAGAUACCCUGGUAGUCCACACCGUAAACGCUGUCUACUAGCUGUUUGGACUUUCAUUAGACUGAGUAGCGAAGCUAACGCGCUAAGUAGACCGCCUGGGGAGUACGGCCGCAAGGUUAAAACUCAAAUGAAUUGACGGGGGCCCGCACAAGCGGUGGAGCAUGUGGUUUAAUUCGAUGCAACGCGAAGAACCUUACCUACACUUGACAUGCAGAGAAGUUAGCAGAGAUGCUUUCGUGCCUUCGGGAACUCUGACACAGGUGCUGCAUGGCUGUCGUCAGCUCGUGCCG